ensembl:lncRNA
AAAUUUUCAAGUAGGCUAACCUUAAUGAAAAAAAUGUAUUUAUUUUGUUUUGUUUUUCUUUAAAGUUCACUCAAUACAGCAUAAUCUCCAACAUCACUGAGGUGGCUGACCACGUCCAGGACCGAAGCUGCUUCUAAACUGGAACUCAUUUGCUGAGCCAGCCCCAGCCUCAGCUUUCUUGUCAACUCCAGGGGGCACAACACUCCUUCUGUAGGUGUCUCUGUCUGCCUCCCCUCUUGUAAAUCUUAAAGGCCAGUCACCCUCUGGAUCUUUGGCCGAAGCCUGCCAGAGUUCAGCCCAGACUGCAGGGUGGCAGGCAUGAUCUCCGCAGUUUCUGGAGGUAAUUCAGGUAUCAACAUCAUGGUGGCUGCAGGGUCCGAGGAGAAGGCUGGAAAGGAAGGGGCAUUCACCGAAAACAUGUACUUUUCUAGUAGUAUGAAUGUCAUGUGAGUAUGAAUGUCAGCAGUAGUGCUUAAGCUGGAAGAUCUUAAGUUAUUUA